CAGUCGCCGCGGUAAUACGGAGGGGGCUAGCGUUGUUCGGAAUUACUGGGCGUAAAGCGCACGUAGGCGGCUUGGUAAGUUAGAGGUGAAAGCCUGGAGCUCAACUCCAGAAUUGCCUUUAAGACUGCCGAGCUAGCAGGUGAGAGAGGUAAGUGGAAUUCCGAGUGUAGAGGUGAAAUUCGUAGAUAUUCGGAAGAACACCAGUGGCGAAGGCGGCUUACUGGCUCAUACUGGACGCUGAGGUGCGAAAGCGUGGGGAGCAAACAGGAUUAGAUACCCGCGUAGUCCCUGUCUCUUAUAA
rnacentral:rRNA from 1 species